GGCCAGUUAGCUCAGUGGGUUGAGCGCGGUGCUGAUAACACCGAGAUCGUGGGUUUGAUUCCCAUUCGGUCUG
rfam:Apaloderma vittatum contig14586, whole genome shotgun sequence.